AUUGAACGCUGGCGGCAGGCCUAACACAUGCAAGUCGAGCGGAUGAGUGGAGCUUGCUCCAUGAUUCAGCGGCGGACGGGUGAGUAAUGCCUAGGAAUCUGCCUGGUAGUGGGGGACAACGUUUCGAAAGGAACGCUAAUACUGCAUACGUCCUACGGGAGAAAGUGGGGGAUCUUCGGACCUCACGCUAUCAGAUGAGCCUAGGUCGGAUUAGCUAGUUGGUGAGGUAAAGGCUCACCAAGGCGACGAUCCGUAACUGGUCUGAGAGGAUGAUCAGUCACACUGGAACUGAGACACGGUCCAGACUCCUACGGGAGGCAGCAGUGGGGAAUAUUGGACAAUGGGCGAAAGCCUGAUCCAGCCAUGCCGCGUGUGUGAAGAAGGUCUUCGGAUUGUAAAGCACUUUAAGUUGGGAGGAAGGGCAGUAAGUUAAUACCUUGCUGUUUUGACGUUACCAACAGAAUAAGCACCGGCUAACUUCGUG
rnacentral:rRNA from 1 species